rnacentral:rRNA from 1 species
GAUGAACGCUGGCGGCGUGCCUAAUACAUGCAAGUCGAGCGAACGGGCGGGAAGCUUGCUUCUCUGAUGUUAGCGGCGGACGGGUGAGUAACACGUGGAUAACCUACCUAUAAGACUGGGAUAACUUCGGGAAACCGGAGCUAAUACCGGAUAAUAUUUUGAACCGCAUGGUUCAAAAGUGAAAGACGGUCUUGCUGUCACUUAUAGAUGGAUCCGCGCUGCAUUAGCUAGUUGGUAAGGUAACGGCUUACCAAGGCAACGAUGCAUAGCCGACCUGAGAGGGUGAUCGGCCACACUGGAACUGAGACACGGUCCAGACUCCUACGGGAGGCAGCAGUAGGGAAUCUUCCGCAAUGGGCGAAAGCCUGACGGAGCAACGCCGCGUGAGUGAUGAAGGUCUUCGGAUCGUAAAACUCUGUUAUUAGGGAAGAACAUAUGUGUAAGUAACUGUGCACAUCUUGACGGUACCUAAUCAGAAAGCCACGGCUAACUACGUG